AAUUUACCCUAUUUUUAUGAAAAUAAAAGUCGGUCGGUCAACAAGAGAAGAAUCAAGAAAAGUCAAAUAUGACGACAAAAGCUUCCAAUUUACACUUCCGUUGAAUGCAUUGAGGAUUUCCCACUUUCCAUGAUCACCCUAUAAAUUCAUUCUCACACCAAUUUCAUUUAAUUCAAACCCAUCGUUCAAGAAAGAAAAAAAAAACGCACAAACACGCACUGAAAAGAGAGAGAAAAAAAAACCAGAAAAAUCAGUAGAAAUGGGGAGUAAUAAUAAGCAGGUGAUUUUGAAAAGCUACGUGAAUGGUUCUCCAAAGGAAUCCGAUAUGGAGCUGAAAGCAUCAACGAUUGAGCUGAAAAUUCCAGAAGGAUGCAACGACGCCGUUUUGGUGAAGAAUCUGUACUUGUCGUGUGAUCCUUAUAUGCUUGGCCGUAUGAAGAAACUCGAUGGCCAUUACGUCGAUUCGCUUACCCUAGGCGCUCCUAUUAUUGGAUAUGGAGUAUCGAGAGUAAUGGAAUCUUCUCAUCCGGACUACGAGAAAGACGACCUUCUUUGGGGCUUCGUUGGAUGGGAAGAGUACACCCUUAUAACCAAUUUGACCACUUGCUUUAAAAAUCCAACACAAAGACGUUCCUCUCUCUUACUAUACCGGACUUCUUGGUAUGGCUGGUAUGACGGCUUAUGCUGGAUUUUUCGAGCUUUGCACUCCGAAAAAGGGAGAAACCGUUUUCAUUUCCGCUGCAUCGGGAGCAGUUGGUCAACUCGUCGGUCAAUUUGCAAAGUUAAUGGGAUGUUAUGUCGUUGGAAGUGCUGGGUCCAAAGACAAGGUUGAUCUCCUGAAGAACAAAUUUGGAUUUGAUAACGCGUUUAACUACAAAGAAGAGUCGGAUUACAACGUCGCUUUGAAAAGAUAUUUCCCGGAUGGAAUCGACAUCUAUUUCGAGAACGUGGGAGGAAAGAUGCUUGAAGCGGUACUCAACAACAUGAGAAUCCACGGCCGAAUCGCAGUGUGUGGGAUGAUCUCGCAGUACAGCCUGGCGCAGCCAGAUGGGGUCCACAACUUGUUCAAUCUCAUAUCGAAAAGGAUAAAAAUGGAAGGAUUUCUCGUCAUGGAAUAUUACCAUCUUUACCCGAAAUUCAUCGAGAUGGUUCUUCCUCACAUCAAGAAAGGAGAUAUUACUUACGUCGAAGACUUUGCUGAAGGCCUUGAAAACGCGGCAUCGGCUCUAUUGGGUCUGUUCUCGGGGCGUAAUGUUGGAAAGCAAGUUGUUGUCGUUGCUCGUGAGUAGAUGUAUAUAUAUAGUAUGUAUGUAUGUAUGUAUCAUGUUUGUGUGAGUAGAGUCUUUGGCAACUUCAUUUAUUUGAACAGUAAACUUUGUACUUUUUUUCUGCCUAUAUUUUUUUUUUAACUUAUUAUUGACGAAUGUAAUUCAUUAAAUGAUAAAGGCCAAAUCUCAGUAAUAAUCCAUCGUCUAAGUAUUUUUCUCCCACUUUA